AUUAGAAGUAGUUUAAUUAGAAUUGUAGCUUUGGGAGUUAUAGGUGCUGUUUAGUCUUCUAGUU
rnacentral:tRNA from 1 species